AGAGUUUGAUCCUGGCUCAGGACGAACGCUGGCGGCGUGCUUAACACAUGCAAGUCACGGGGGCCCGCAAGGGUAACCGGCGAACGGGUGCGUAACACGUGAGCAAUCUGCCGUCCACUGGGGGAUAGCCGGCCCAACGGCCGGGUAAUACCGCAUACGCUUGCCGGGUGGCAUCACUUGGCAAGGAAACCUCCGGGGGUGGACGAGGAGCUCGCGGCCUAUCAGCUAGUUGGUGGGGUCACGGCCCACCAAGGCGAUGACGGGUAGCUGGUCUGAGAGGAUGGCCAGCCACAUUGGGACUGAGAUACGGCCCAGACUCCUACGGGAGGCAGCAGUGGGGAAUAUUGCGCAAUGGCCGCAAGGCUGACGCAGCGACGCCGCGUGGGGGAUGAAGCAUUUCGGUGUGUAAACCCCUGUUGCCCGGGACGAACCUCCCCUUUCGAGGGGACUGACGGUACCGGGUGAGGAAGCACCGGCUAACUCCGUGCCAGCAGCCGCGGUAAUACGGAGGGUGCGAGCGUUGUCCGGAAUCACUGGGCGUAAAGGGCGCGUAGGCGGUGACUUAAGCGUGUGGUGAAAGCCCGGGGCUCAACCCCGGGUCGGCCGUGCGAACUGGGUCACUCGAGCACUGUAGAGGCAGGUGGAAUUCCGGGUGUAGCGGUGGAAUGCGUAGAGAUCCGGAAGAACACCAGUGGCGAAAGCGGCCUGCUGGGCAGUAGCUGACGCUGAGGCGCGACAGCGUGGGGAGCAAACAGGAUUAGAUACCCUGGUAGUCCACGCCGUAAACGAUGGGCACUAGG
rnacentral:rRNA from 1 species